rnacentral:rRNA from 1 species
GACGAACGCUGGCGGCGUGCUUAACACAUGCAAGUCGAACGGAAAGGCCCUGCUUGCAGGGUACUCGAGUGGCGAACGGGUGAGUAACACGUGGGUGAUCUGCCCUGCACUUCGGGAUAAGCCUGGGAAGCUGGGUCUAAUACCGGAUAGGAGCCAUUUUUAGUGUGAUGGUUGGAAAGUUUUUUCGGUGUAGGAUGAGCUCGCGGCCUAUCAGCUUGUUGGUGGGGUAAUGGCCUACCAAGGCGGCGACGGGUAGCCGGCCUGAGAGGGUGGACGGCCACAUUGGGACUGAGAUACGGCCCAGACUCCUACGGGAGGCAGCGGUGGGGAAUAUUGCACAAUGGGCGCAAGCCUGAUGCAGCGACGCCGCGUGGGGGAUGACGGCCUUCGGGUUGUAAACUCCUUUCGCUAGGGACGAAGCUUUUUGUGACGGUACCUAGAUAAGAAGCACCGGCUAACUACGUG